UGAGGAAUAUUGGUCAAUGGGCGAGAGCCUGAACCAGCCAAGUAGCGUGCAGGAUGACGGCCCUAUGGGUUGUAAACUGCUUUUAUGUGGGGAUAAAGUGCGUGACGUGUCAUGCAUUGCAGGUACCACAUGAAUAAGGACCGGCUAAUUCCGUGCCAGCAGCCGCGGUAAUACGGAAGGUCCGGGCGUUAUCCGGAUUUAUUGGGUUUAAAGGGAGCGUAGGCUGUCUAUUAAGCGUGUUGUGAAAUUUACAGGCUCAACCGGUGGCUUGCAGCGCGAACUGGUCGUGUUGAGUAUGCAGGAAGUAGGCGGAAUUCAUGGUGUAGCGGUGAAAUGCUUAGAUAUCAUGACGAACUCCGAUUGCGCAGGCAGCUUACUGUAGCAUAACUGACGCUGAUGCUCGAAAGUGCGGGUAUCAAACAGG
rnacentral:rRNA from 1 species